UUGAAGCUGGGAAAACUGUUUUAACAGGGGAUCCAGCUGACCGAGAAGACGGCAGCUGUGCUGGGUCCAGAUUCGGGAGAGCCUCAGCAGUCCCAGAAGCGAGAAGUCCCAGGGCGUGGGACAGACGCCGGCCGCGGCCAUCUGCUUCCAUCUGCUUCGGCCAACACCACUGUGGUCUACACGGGUCCCCUGAGGAUCACUGUUGGACGGCGACAGUCUUUCUAGGGAGAGUCCCCUGUGCCGUGACUGCUGAAGAUGGCUGGCCUGUGGCUGGGAGCCCGUGUGCAGAGGCUGACAUGUCUAUGGGUCCUGGGCAAAGGGCUCAGAGCCGAGCGGUCUGCAGGGAUGGGGGCAGAUGACACCUGAGGGUAUGAAGCCCCUCCGCCCAAAGAGGAGGGUGGAUUUGACCAGUUGGCCCUAGUUGGUUACCAUCUCCAUCUGGGGCAACAAAGGAUAACCCAAAGGCCACAUCCAGGCCUCUGCUUGUUAUCAAUAAAGCUUUAUUGGC
ensembl:lncRNA